CUUACUGUGGUGUAAAUGGUGGUAUCCCAGGAGAAUGGAACCAAGCAUCCCAGUCAACUUGAUUCAAAAUGUCGGUCUAGUAGAGAAUGAAAGUAUUAGUGAGUCAAGGAAAACACUUCUGGAAAGAACUUUUGAAGGAAGCAUAAAUGUACCAAAGCAGCAUGGAUUUUGUCUUCCUAACAAUAUACUUUUUUAAUGUAAAUUCAAGCAAGGAUGCUCCAAGAGUAUGUUCACUCCACCUACCAUUAAAUAUGCACAGUGACUGGUAAACAGGAAGGACACAUCUGAAUCACCAGGGUGCUGGAGCUUUUUGCUGUUCCGUCAUUGGGUCAAAUUAAACGUCAGCCCAAAUAGACUGAAAAGAGAGUGCCGGUUGGGAUGAGAGCCGAUUUUACUCAUUCUCUGCAAUGGUUAUCUCCAUGGCUCUGAAGCUACGAAGACUACCCAGGCUGCUGUGCUCCGUGCCCUCUAAUAUAAUGAACCGAUGAGCGAAGCUUUGGGCCUACUCCAGGCUGUUCUGGAGUUUAGAUCUGACAACUCAAUUUUGUUUCGGAAUGCCAUUGUUGGCUUCAAUUGUUUGAAUGAUUUGUAUUUUUUCCUAUUUCUUGCACAUAACCUGUUGGUCUUCUAUUUUUUUCUUCUUUAAAUGGGUUCUUUCAGGUUUCUUGUGGCUACCUAUCAGCAAAUCUCAAGGUUGUAUAAUUUAUACAUUCUUCAAUAAUGAAUCUUCAUUUCAUUUUAAAAUCUUAAUUAUUAUUGAAAAUUAACAAAAAAGAUACAUUAAGUCAAUAUGUUAUUAUAUAUGAAUCUUGAAUCAUAUUGGCUGCUGAUAUUUAGCUAACUAGACAAACAUCCAUUAACUAACAAUUGAAGGAUCUCAGCUCAAAACAUUGACUAUUUUCUCUUCUCUAUAGAUGCUGUCUGCCUGCUGUGUUCCUCCAGCAUUUUGUGUGUGUUGCUAACAAUUUGCAAUCUUGCCUCUAAAUUCCUGCAAGUGAAACUCUCACGUAAGCAACAGGACUUUUCAAUUCUCCUGCUCUCACUCCAAAUCCUGAAUCCUGCAAGUGAAACUCUCAAAUAAUUAAGAGAAGCUUACAAAAUACUCACCUGACCCUCUGCCUCUUCUUACCAGAGCACUGAGCCAAAACUUCAGUUCCCCGCUCCAACCCUGUCCACUCAUACUAGGACUUUCCAUUUAAACCAAACUUUUUAUUGGCCACAGUGAAACUCAAACAACAAGGCUUGCUCUUUUCACUAAUUCCCAUUCACAGAGAGCUCACUCAUGAUCCUCCAAAGUGAAACUCCCAUGCAACGAGACUUGCUCUUUACAAUGCCUCCCACUCCCACUCACUAUCUUUCAAUGUAAAGGCCAUUUCUUUAGAAAUCAAUCAUUCUAGUUAAGGGCCAACAUUCAACUGUAUUUUAUUCUGAGUUCUAAGACCCUGCCUUCAAAUUACAGAUUCACACAUGCAUGAAUUCCUUUGAUUGUACUUUUUCAAGCCAGGUUGCUCAGCUUCCUAGCCUCAGGAUUAAUUAAUGCUACCCUGGCCACAUCAAGUAAUUAACCAAGAGUUUUUCUACUUCAGCUUUAGUCCACAAUGGAUAGGUUGAGGUGGCACAAGGGAAGCCAGCACCACUAGCAAAUUCAGCCAUUCAUAUACUGCAUUCAUCAGAUGCUGUUCCUGAGAAAGUAAUCUCAAGCCCAUCACCUUUUCAUGCCUUUAAGCCCUGGAAGGUAUCCAUGACUCCUCUGCAUAAAGAAAUUGCUUCCAUAGAUACUGUUUUAUUUAAAAGUCUCGAUUCCUCUGAACAGCAUUUGCCACCCCACCCUCCCCCAUAUUCCUGAGAGCAUCCACUUUCUCUUCCCAUCAUGACACGAUACAUCUUAGCAGUAACCUAAGUGCUGCCUGUAACACGCUCGUUUUUGUUUGAUAACUGUAGAGGGUGCAGCUGCAAAAUUGUGCAAAUAAUCUGCAGAGAUGUUUGUACCAAAAGUGAUGCUGCACGGUGUUACAUGGGAAAGCAAUGGUAUCUUGCAUUUAUCUGUGCCAUAGUAUUUAUGGUCCUUUCGUCAUGGAGUCAGUGCAUGAAAACAGCCCUUUAGACCACCAAGUCUAUGCUGACAAUCAAACACGCACUUACUCUAAUCAAUUUUGUUCACUUACAAUUCCUGCAGGAGAGAUUUAUGGCAGCCAAUUAAAACACCAACUCAUACUUUAGAACACAAGAGGAAACUGCAACACCGGGGGAACUGACACAGGCACAGGGAAAACAUUCAAACUGCACACAGGCAGCACAGGAGGUUGAACCUGGGUUUCCAACACCAGCACAGUUCCACCUGGAUGAAACAAUACUAAUUUAAUGCUACUUAAAUAUAAAACAGUUUCUUGACCAAACACCUGAUUGGUAGUUUAUGAGGGGCAAAACUAAUUAAAUAUCGCUCCAGCCUCACCUCUGGCUAUAAACCUACUCACAUGUCUGAUGUUGACACCAGCUCUGACCACAAACCACUCACACCGCUGAGAGUGAGCUGCAUGCCAAACCAACAGGAUAUCCAAGCAAAUGGAUGCUUGGAUGGGAGUUUUACUACACCUCUUACAAAAACUUGAUCAAUUUUGUGUCCAUACACAAAUUCAUCAGCAAAUAUAACAAAAUCUCCAUACAUAAAUUUCCAGAUUAAUCAGAAAGGCUGUGAAUACAUGACGGAUUAAUGCUCCAGACUUGUAAUAAUAUGAGUCAUGGCAAUAAAAGUUAAUCAUAACUCAGUUCCUCUCUUCAUAGAUCACGGCCUAACAUGCAUAGGUUUUUGCUUUUGGAUUCCAGAUUAAUUACCCUGGAUUAAUUUGGGAGAUGAAACAUUUCCACUGAAAAUUUUCUUAUUUUCAAUUACAGUCUCCAGCAAAUGGAAGACAUUAGCAGAGGAAAUUCAACAUUAGGGCAACUCAGAGACACAACUAGUGAAUUUCUACUUCACCGCUCCAGAGAACUGAGUUCAAGCCUUACUUCGGGUACCAGCUGUGUGGAAUUUGUAUGGAUUCCCUAUUACUGUGUUGGUAUCUUCUAGGUGUUCUAGCUUUUCUUCCCACACGCCAAAGUGAUUUAAUUUAACUUUGCAUCAUAAUUGGCACAGAUAUUAUGGGCCAAGUGACCUGUUACUGUGCUGUGCUAUGUUCUAUGUGCAGGUUGGUAGGUUAAUUGGACCCUGUAAAUUGACUAUAAUGUUUAGGUAAAUGGUAAAAUCUGGGGGGUGGGUGGCAUCGGAAGUUUUUUUAUUCUUCCCAUACAUGCAAGAUCAAUGGAUAACUGAUAAUUGGAGCAGACUUGGUAGGCUGAAAGGUCAGUUUCAGUGUUGACUCAAUGAAUCUAAAAUAGAAGCACUUUGAAAAUGGAAGAUUUAAAAACAGUUUAAAGGCAUUUUAAAAAGUAUGCAUUCUUUAAUGAAAUAAAGACGUGUUCUGCUGUCAAAAGCAUGCUAAAAUAGUUCUAUCUACUAGAUUUAUUCAAUUAUACUGUACUUGCCAUAUAAUUAUACACAGUUUGGGAAGUGGUAAUGGAAUAGGGGAAGGGAGAUGGAAUAAAAUGCUCAAAGUAUGUAAAAUUGCAAAUGUAAUAAACCUUUGCAAAAUAAGGAAAGAAACCUACAAGCCACUUAC